rnacentral:miRNA from 1 species
AACACGAAUUUGAACAAGACAAAUUACGGGACAUGUUUGUCUUGUAACACGUGCCGUAAUUUGUCAUGUUCAAAUUCAUGUUGUUAUUAAUU